GUGCUACUUUGGCAGUACAUAUUCCAAGAUUGAAACAAAAUGUUUAGCAUGGCUCCUGCAUAAGGAUGACUCAAAAACUCAUAAAGCAUUUCAUAUUUUU
ensembl:snRNA U6 U6 spliceosomal RNA